rnacentral:rRNA from 1 species
GACAGCAGUAGCCGCGGUAAUACGGAGGGUGCAAGCGUUAAUCGGAAUUACUGGGCGUAAAGCGCACGCAGGCGGUCUGACAAGUCAGAUGUGAAAUCCCCGGGCUUAACCUGGGAACUGCAUUUGAAACUGUCAGGCUGGAGUCUUGUAGAGGGGGGUAGAAUUCCAGGUGUAGCGGUGAAAUGCGUAGAGAUCUGGAGGAAUACCGGUGGCGAAGGCGGCCCCCUGGACAAAGACUGACGCUCAGGUGCGAAAGCGUGAGGAGCAAACAGGAUUAGAUACCCGCGUAGUCCCUGUCUCUUAUAC